rnacentral:rRNA from 1 species
ACAGAGGUGGCAAGCGUUAUUCGGAUUUAUUGGGCGUAAAGGGCGCGUAGGCGGUUAGGCACGUCCGGUGUGAAAACGCUACCGCUUAACGGAGCGAAUGCGCUGGAUACGGCCUGACUUGAGUCCGGGAGAGGUGAGCGGAAUUCCAGGUGUAGCGGUGGAAUGCGUAGAUAUCUGGAAGAACACCAGUGGCGAAGGCGGCUCACUGGCCCGGCACUGACGCUGAGGCGCGAAAGCGUGGGGAGCAAACGGC